AUUCUAUGAACACUAAAUCUCAAUAGUGAUAGUAAUCAUCAAAACUUACAUUAAAGAAUUUAAACUCAAACUCAGCCAUCACCCACCUUUAAAAGGUAAGCAACUUUUUUCGAAAUGUUGCGCCUACAAGUACGUGCGGCUUGCCCACAAACAUGUGAAGGGCUCCUCAUUUUUAUUCCCCUAAUUAACUAUCCAGUUUGAUGGAUUUUGAGGAAAACCUAGCGUAGCUCUGUUGUACCCACAACCAGAGGGCGAAAACGCUUUUAUUACGUAUCACGUAUAUUUUGUUUGAUGCCCCAACAAAAUCAAUUUGAAAAUCUUGAUGGAGAAGAAGGUGGUGAUGGAGAAAGCCAAUCCUCAACUAGUUCUUACGAUAGUUGAAUAAAAAAAUUUCUAAGGCCAUGUCUAAAUCUAUAUUAUAGUUUUCCAUAUUUCUUAUUCAUUUUGAAAGUCCUUACUAUUUUUUCAACCUUGAGAAGUAACUAUAUAUUACCAUGA